rnacentral:tRNA from 1 species
CAUUAGAUGGCUGAAAGCAAGCAAUGGUCUCUUAAACCAUAAAAUAGUAAAUUAGCAAUUACUUCUAAUGA